rnacentral:rRNA from 1 species
CAGUAGCCGCGGGAAUACGUAGGGUGCGAGCGUUAAUCGGAAUUACUGGGCGUAAAGCGUGCGCAGGCGGUUAUGUAAGACAGGUGUGAAAUCCCCGGGCUUAACCUGGGAACUGCGCUUGUGACUGCACAGCUAGAGUAUGGCAGAGGGGGGUGGAAUUCCACGUGUAGCAGUGAAAUGCGUAGAGAUGUGGAGGAACACCGAUGGCGAAGGCAGCCCCUGGGCCAAUACUGACGCUCAUGCACGAAAGCGUGGGGAGCAAACAGGAUUAGAUACCCGAGUAGUCCCUGUCUCUUAUACA